UACGGAGGAUCCGAGCGUUAUCCGGAUUUAUUGGGUUUAAAGGGUGCGCAGGCGGAAGAUUAAGUCGGUGGUGAAAUUUUGCAGCUCAACUGUAAAAGUGCCAUUGAUACUGGUUUUCUGAGUGUGGAUGAAGUAGGCGGAAUUUGUGGUGUAGCGGUGAAAUGCAUAGAUAUCAGGAGGAACUCCGAUUGCGCAGGCAGCUUACUAAACUACUACUGACGCUCAGGCACGAAGGCGUGGGGAUCAAACAGGAUUAGAUA
rnacentral:rRNA from 1 species